rnacentral:rRNA from 1 species
CCUGGGAACUGCGUUNUGAACUGGGUGACUAGAGUGUGUCAGAGGGAGGUAGAAUNCCACGUGUAGCAGUGAAAUGCGUAGAGAUGUGGAGGAAUACCGAUGGCGAAGGCAGCCUCCUGGGAUAACACUGACGUUCAUGCCCGAAAGCGUGGGUAGCAAACAGGAUUAGAUACCCUGGUAGUCCACGCCCUAAACGAUGUCGAUUAGCUGUUGGGCAGCAUGACUGCUUAGUAGCGAAGCUAACGCGUGAAAUCGACCGCCUGGGGAGUACGGUCGCAAGAUUAAAACUCAAAGGAAUUGACGGGGACCCGCACAAGCGGUGGAUGAUGUGGAUUAAUUCGAUGCAACGCGAAGAACCUUACCUGGUCUUGACAUGUACGGAACCCUCCAGAGACGGAGGGGUGCCUUCGGGAGCCGUAACACAGGUGCUGCAUGGCUGUCGUCAGCUCGUGUCGUGAGAUGUUGGGUUAAGUCCCGCAACGAGCGCAACCCUUGUCAUUAGUUGCCAUCAUUAAGUUGGGCACUCUAAUGAGACUGCCGGUGACAAGCCGGAGGAAGGUGGGGAUGACGUCAAGUCCUCAUGGCCCUUAUGACCAGGGCUUCACACGUCAUACAAUGGUCGGUACAGAGGGUAGCCAAGCCGCGAGGUGGAGCCAAUCUCACAAAACCGAUCGUAGUCCGGAUUGCACUCUGCAACUCGAGUGCAUGAAGUCGGAAUCGCUAGUAAUCGCAGGUCAGCAUACUGCGGUGAAUACGUUCCCGGGUCUUGUACACACCGCCCGUCGCACCAUGGGAGUGGGGGAUACCAGAAGUAGG